UAGCGUCACUUUUAUGACGCCAAAUGUGCCUCUCGGCGUCGACUAUCGAAGUACUACGACCUUCAUUGCUUUCAGUGGGAAACUUUUGGCGUCAGAAUUCGACACGAGGACAGGAGAUGUUUAUCGCUAUGAAAUCACGUUCAAGAAGUCUCAUUCAGCACACAUCGCGCGAUACUUGCUAUCAGUUCCACAGUUUGGCUGAAAAGACGUAAAGGCAGUCAGCCCAGUGGUGUUUCUGGAGAGGGAUUCCUUCAGAAAUGGAGAAGACAGAAAGCUGCGGAGGCAGAUAUUUGCAGCAGUAAGUCUGUGAUAGUUUGUCUCUUUUAUCAAAAAUUCCUGCUGUUAUAAUUUGUACAGCAUUUGUUGUUUCUUAAACUGUUGCACUGUCCAAAUACCCACACUUGCCAUCUUUUCACUUGACCACUUGAUUACUUAUUUGACGUCUUUCCUGUAUUUGGCCUAGUGUUCGAGUGAGCAUGAUGACCACAAGUGUGUGUCAAACUUUUCAUGACCUGAUGACUGUGUUUCCCAAUCCUGAACCUGGAGAACCCCAGCACUGCACGGUUUUGGCGUCUCUCUUAUCUGCCUUGGAGUCUUCACUGAUGAGCUGAUGAGUUGAAUCAGGAUUGUUUGAGGAUAACACUGCAGUUCUCCAUCACGCACAAGGACUCACCUCGUUAACUCUUUAUACCCCGCACACACAGAAAUGGUCCCUGGAUCAGUGAUUAGACUUUGCAGUGGUUAGAUUUUUGCAGAAGAUGUAACUUUGUUUUAUUUAUAAGCUCAUAAUGAAUACAUUACAGAACCAGUGAUGAAAACAAUAGUUAAAAAUAGUAUUUUUCGUAUUGAUAAAGCAUUUUGUUCUCUUUUUCAAGCUUCAUACAGUGAACUUUUUAGACUUUAAUUAAGAGUUUUAGUAAAGGAGAUAUUCAUACACAGUCAUCCCCUAGCUCCAGUCAUGAAGUGAAUUCAUGAUGUUAUUGUCAAAGCUAGCAUGUGUUUGUUUUCCUGAACACUUUCUCUGUCUUCCAUUGUUCAGACAAUCAGUGUUUAUUUGAUGCUGUGCUGAUUGAGUUUUAUAGAUGAUAUUGCACACUUGACAUGCAUGUCUUCAUGGUGUUUUUUUGUGAGUUUGAAACAUUUACAUUGUGUUGUAUAACAUUUUGGUCAAUUUAAUUUUUUUAAUAAAAUUGAUCUUUUUCCAGUGUUCUCUGAAAGACAUACUGUAUUUACUGUUUUGUUUUUUAAUAAAAGCAUUUUCAUUUGCAUACUGAAAAUAGUUAAUGUUUACAACAUAACUGCCUUUUUAUUCUUUAUGGUGGCAAAAACGAGCUUGGUGACAGAGGAUGCAGUGUAGUAAUUUGGGCAUGUUGUCUUUAAAUGAGUUUGACAUAUCAAUAAAUAAUGGAAGAUCCUUACAAAAAUAUGCAUGUUUAUUAUGCUUUAUGUAUUUAUUUGUUCAUUCAUUCAUUCAUUAAUUUAUAAUUUCUGUUUUUAUUCCUAGGGUUCAAAUGGUAGAGAAUGGUAAAUCACAGAAACACAAAUGUGAACAAUUUUAACUUUAAAACACAAUGUAAUAUACA